rnacentral:rRNA from 1 species
GACGAACGCUGGCGGCGUGCUUAACACAUGCAAGUCGAACGGAAAGGCCUGCUUUCCCUUGUGGAUUGCGGGUACUCGAGUGGCGAACGGGUGAGUAACACGUGAGUGAUCUGCCCCCAACUUGGGUAUAAGCCUGGGCAACUGGGUCUAAUUCCCGAUAGGACUGCAGGGUGGUGCCUGUGGUGGAAAACGAUUUUCUAGUGGUUGGGGAUGAGCUCGCGGCCUAUCAGCUUGUUGGUGGGGUAAUGGCCUACCAAGGCGGCGACGGGUAGCCGGCCUGGGAGGGUGGACGGCCGAAUUGGGACGGAGAUACGGCCCAGACGCCUACGGGAGGCAGCAGUGGGGAAGAAUGCACAAUGGGCGGAAGCCUGAGGCAGCGACGCCGAGUGGGGGAUGACGGCCUUCGGGUUGUAAACUCCUUUCGACCGCGAGGAAGCCACCUGGUUGGAAGGGUGGUGACGGUAGUGGUAGAAGAAGCACCGGCUAACUACGUG